rnacentral:misc_RNA from 1 species
GUGAAUCAUCAAAUCUUUGAACGCAAAUUGCACUCUCUGGUAUUCCGGAGAGUAUGCCUGUUUGAGGGUCAGUAUAAAUAAAAAUCGGUGUGGUUUCGGCGUUUCUUGGUGACUCACCGGAUUUGAGUCGUCUUGAUUUCGGUUAAGUGACCUCAAAUUUUUCGUGUUUUUUUCGAACGUCUUUAAAUGGUUUUACGUAAGUUUGCGAUAUCGA